CCUACGGGAGGCAGCAGUGAGGAAUAUUGGUCAAUGGACGAGAGUCUGAACCAGCCAAGUAGCGUGAAGGAUGACUGCCCUAUGGGUUGUAAACUUCUUUUAUAUGGGAAUAAAAUGUUCCACGUGUGGGAUUUUGUAUGUACCAUAUGAAUAAGGAUCGGCUAACUCCGUGCCAGCAGCCGCGGUAAUACGGAGGAUCCGAGCGUUAUCCGGAUUUAUUGGGUUUAAAGGGAGCGUAGGUGGAUUGUUAAGUCAGUUGUGAAAGUUUGCGGCUCAACCGUAGAAUUGCAGUUGAAACUGGCAGUCUUGAGUACAGUAGAGGUGGGCGGAAUGCGUGGUGUAGCGGUGAAAUGCUUAGAUAUCACGAAGAACUCCGAUUGCGAAGGCAGUUCACUGGACUGCAACUGACACUGAGGCUCGAAAGUGUGGGUAUCAAACAGGAUUAGAUACCCCUGUAGUC
rnacentral:rRNA from 1 species